rnacentral:rRNA from 1 species
CCUACGGGAGGCAGCAGUGAGGAAUAUUGGUCAAUGGACGAGAGUCUGAACCAGCCAAGUAGCGUGAAGGAUGACUGCCCUAUGGGUUGUAAACUUCUUUUAUAUGGGAAUAAAACAGGGUAUGCAUACCCUCUUGUAUGUACCAUAUGAAUAAGGAUCGGCUAACUCCGUGCCAGCAGCCGCGGUAAUACGGAGGAUCCGAGCGUUAUCCGGAUUUAUUGGGUUUAAAGGGAGCGUAGGUGGAUUGUUAAGUCAGUUGUGAAAGUUUGCGGCUCAACCGUAAAAUUGCAGUUGAAACUGGCAGGCUUGAGUACAGUAGAGGUGAGCGGAAUUCGUGGUGUAGCGGUGAAAUGCGUAGAUAUUACGAAGAACUCCGAUUGCGAAGGCAGCUCACUGGACUGCAACUGACACUGAUGCUCGAAAGUGUGGGUAUCAAACAGGAUUAGAUACCCCUGUAGUC